CUUUGAAUCUCUCUCUCAAACUCUCACAAACACAAACGAACUACCACAGACAGUCUCACUCGAUGCUGGCGCCAUCUUCAUCCAAUCGGGUAUAAGCUAUUCUUGUUUGAAAGAAGGUGAAGAAGCUACAUUCUAGAAAGUCUCUCGUUUCUCAGCCUCUUACUAUCUCUGAAUCUCUUGCACUUCCUUUUCGUUUUUGAGCCCUAGAAGGUAGACACCUUCGAUUCCAACGACGAUCCAACAGAUGACAGCACAAGUGCAGAAGAAGAAGGUGAAGCCCCCGAAACCAUCUCAUUUCUUUUUUCUUUUUAUGUGUUAUUUUGAUUUGUUAAAUGUUUCAAUCUUUUCUUUCUAAUAUACGUUGAAUUGAAAAUCAAGUUGUGUUAGAUGACCUAUUAAUAUUUUCUAGAGUCUUGUAUUUGAUAUAAAAUCAUGUAUUAAUAAGUUAGGACUUAAAACUUAGACACAAGAGAAUAGAGAUUAGAUCAUUAAAUAUUGGUGAACUUAAUUGGAUGUUGUGCUGAGGGGGAUGAGAUUAGCUAUGUGAAUUGCUUCCAGUAUUUGUGAAUUGAAUUGCUUCCAAUAAUUGGAUGUUGUGAAUUGCUGAGGGGGAUAAGAUUAGAUCAUUAGAGAAUGGUGAACUUAAUUGAGAGCAUUUGGAUUGAUUUUACUUUAUACUUGAUUUGGGCUUAAAGCUAAAGAGAUUGCAUUGCUAAUUUAUGCAAUUUUACAGAGGAUAGAUUUUAUACACAUUGGAAGAGACAGAAGUUAAGGAGAAUUGCAUGUCUGGUCGAAUUCCUAGCUUAUCAUCAACAACUGUUCCAGUAAUGGUCUGACUCCAAACUUAUUGUUUAAAACUUUGUGGUUCCAGCUAUGCAAAAUCACACCUAACCAAGAAAAACAAAAUAAUUCAUAAAAUACUACACACUAAUUUAUAUGCUAUAAAUACUAGGUGUUAUUACUAAUUAAAUUGAAAUUACUAUCAUCUUAAAUUUCUCUGAUUUUUUGUAACUGAAACAUGGCAAUAGCCAUGAAUUUGCAUAUUAAUAAAUCAAUCCCCUGAUUAAUAGUUUGAUUAUAAAAAUCAUGGAAAUUCAAACUUACUUAAAAUGAAAACUUGCAAUGGUUUGAUUUUCUACAAUGUCAUGGACUUCACAAGAUUUUUUUGACAUAAUAUUUGUAAUUCUAGAUAUAAAAUCACAUCAUAUGUUUUUUUUUUUUUUUUAUAAAUUAUGAAAAUUUACUCAUUUUUAUACAUUCAUCUUACCCGUAUUUUUGGUGACAAUGUAAUUUCUGAUACCUUGAUCAUAAUGAAUAUUACAUUGUAUAGUGCAGCAAUCAUGAAGCAUCUCUUAUAUAAUAAUUAAUGAAUUUAAGCUUCCCAUUAUAUUGAAAUUGAUUAGUAAUUUUGGUUUUUUUUCUUUUUGAGGAUUUUGAAAUGUAUUAUACUUUCUAGAAACCAAUAUGCAAGGUUUCCACUGAUUUCUCAUGAGAAUUGGACAUGAUACGUCUUCCAUUACCAUAAAGAUCAUCAUGGAUUAUUUGAUUCAUUGGUCAAUAUCCAUCUAAUAUUAAAACGUAUUGUGAGUGUAAUAUUAAUAUCUAUCCUACUACAAAUUCUGUUAAUUAUUUAUGUCUAUUUGAAAAUUACCAAAAAUCGUAUUGAUCUUGUUCCCAUCUUUGUAAACAUGCAUUUCGAAC
rnacentral:lncRNA from 1 species